ACCAGUCCAUGAUCUUGAAGGUUUUAGGCCCCCAAUCAAUUAUUCUAGACCUCAAAAGGAUAAGGCAAUGAUCAGAGAAAUCCCUUUCCAACAUAAAUUGGGUAGUAUCUGGCCAUUGAGACAGCCAGUCAUCAGAUAAAAGAAACCUGUCCAAUUUGCUCAUGACACUACCAUUAGGUCUACAGUAGAAAUCCAGGAAUUAAAAUCUAGGAAUUAUU
rnacentral:lncRNA from 1 species